GUCCCCAUCGUCUAGAGGCCUAGGACAUCGCCCUUUCACGGCGGUAACCGGGGGUCGAAUCCCCGUGGGGGCGCCA
rnacentral:tRNA from 1 species